AAGCGUACAAGGUGGAUGCCUUGGCAAUCAGAGGCGACGAAGGACGUGCUAAUCUGCGAAAAGCUUGGAUGAGUCGAUAAGAGGCGUUUAAUCCAAGAUGUCCGAAUGGGGAAACCCAGUGGGUGAAGAACCCACUAUCAUUAUUUGAAUCCAUAGGAUAAUGAGGCGAACCGGGAGAACUGAAACAUCUAAGUACCCCGAGGAAAAGAAAUCAACCGAGAUUUCGUUAGUAGCGGCGAGCGAACGCGAAGGAGCCUGUUAGUGAUAAUGACAGAGACAGAGGAACAAGCUGGGAAGCUUGGCGAUACAGGGUGAUAGCCCCGUACUCGAAGUCCAGGUCAUGGUACUAAGCUAACGAUAAGUAGGGCGGGACACGUGAUAUCCUGUUUGAAGAUGGGGGGACCAUCCUCCAAGGCUAAAUACUCCUGAUUGACCGAUAGUGAACCAGUACUGUGAAGGAAAGGCGAAAAGAACCCCGGUGAGGGGAGUGAAAUAGAACCUGAAACCUUGUACGUACAAGCAGUGGGAGCCCUUUAAGGGUGACUGCGUACCUUUUGUAUAAUGGGUCAGCGACUUAUAUUUUGUAGCGAGGUUAACCGAAUAGGGGAGCCGAAGGGAAACCGAGUCUUAACUGGGCGUCUAGUUGCAAGGUAUAGACCCGAAACCCGGUGAUCUAGCCAUGGGCAGGUUGAAGGUUGGGUAACACUAACUGGAGGACCGAACCGACUAAUGUUGAAAAAUUAGCGGAUGACUUGUGGCUGGGGGUGAAAGGCCAAUCAAACCGGGAGAUAGCUGGUUCUCCCCGAAAUCUAUUUAGGUAGAGCCUUGAGCGGACACCUUCGGGGGUAGAGCACUGUUUCGGCUAGGGGUCCAUCCCGGAUUACCAACCCGAUGCAAACUACGAAUACCGAAGAGUGAUACUCAGGAGACACACGGCGGGUGCUAACGUCCGUCGUGGAGAGGGAAACAACCCAGACCGCCAGCUAAGGUCCCAAAGUCUAUAUUAAGUGGGAAACGAAGUGGGAAGGCUUAGACAGCUAGGAUGUUGGCUUAGAAGCAGCCAUCAUUUAAAGAAAGCGUAAUAGCUCACUAGUCGAGUCGGCCUGCGCGGAAGAUGUAACGGGGCUCAAAUAUAGCACCGAAGCUGCGGCAUCAGACGAAAGUCUGUUGGGUAGGGGAGCGUUCUGUAAGCGGAUGAAGGUGGUUCGAGAGGGCUGCUGGACGUAUCAGAAGUGCGAAUGCUGACAUAAGUAACGAUAAAACGGGUGAAAAACCCGUUCGCCGGAAGACCAAGGGUUCCUGUCCAACGUUAAUCGGGGCAGGGUGAGUCGGCCCCUAAGGCGAGGCUGAAAAGCGUAGUCGAUGGGAAACGGGUUAAUAUUCCCGUACUUGGAUAAACUGCGAUGUGGGGACGGAGUAGGUUAGGUUAUCGCACUGUUGGAUAUGUGCGUUUAAGUUUGUAGGUGUGAAGUUUAGGCAAAUCCGGACUUCUUUAACACUGAGAGAUGAUGAGGAGGCUCUACGGAGCUGAAGUAACCGAUACCACACUUCCAGGAAAAGCCACUAAGCUUCAGGUUUAUCUAAACCGUACUGAAAACCGACACAGGUGGUCAGGUAGAGAAUACUCAGGCGCUUGAGAGAACUCGGGUGAAGGAACUAGGCAAAAUAGCACCGUAACUUCGGGAGAAGGUGCGCCGGCGUAGAUUGUAGUCCCUUGCGGGCGAAGGUUGAACCGGUCGAAGAUACCAGCUGGCUGCAACUGUUUAUUAAAAACACAGCACUCUGCAAACACGAAAGUGGACGUAUAGGGUGUGACGCCUGCCCGGUGCUGGAAGGUUAAUUGAAGAUGUGAGAGCAUCGGAUCGAAGCCCCAGUAAACGGCGGCCGUAACUAUAACGGUCCUAAGGUAGCGAAAUUCCUUGUCGGGU
rnacentral:rRNA from 1 species